rnacentral:rRNA from 1 species
CACGGAGUUGGCCGGUGCUUAUUCGUAUAGUACCUUCAGCUUUCCACACGUGGAAAGGUUUAUCCCUAUACAAAAGAAGUUUACAACCCAUAGGGCCGUCGUCCUUCACGCGGGAUGGCUGGAUCAGGCUCUCACCCAUUGUCCAAUAUUCCUCACUGCUGCCUCCCGUAGGAGUCUGGUCCGUGUCUCAGUACCAGUGUGGGGGAUCACCCUCUCAGGCCCCCUAAAGAUCACUGACUUGGUAGGCCGUUACCCUACCAACUAUCUAAUCUUGCGCGUGCCCAUCUCUAUCCACCGGAGUUUUCAAUAAAAAACGAUGCCGUCUCUUAUAUUAUGGGGUAUUAAUCUUCCUUUCGAAAGGCUAUCCCCCUGAUAAAGGCAGGUUGCACACGUGUUCCGCACCCGUACGCCGCUCUCUCUGUUCCGAAGAACAAUACCGCUCGGCUUGCAUGUGUUAGGCUCCCGCUAGCGUUCAUCCUGAGCCAGGAUCAAACUCU